AAAUUGAAGAGUUUGAUCAUGGCUCAGAUUGAACGCUGGCGGCAGGCCUAACACAUGCAAGUCGAACGGUAACAGGAAACAGCUUGCUGUUUCGCUGACGAGUGGCGGACGGGUGAGUAAUAUCUGGGGAACUGCCUGAUGGAGGGGGAUAACUACUGGAAACGGUAGCUAAUACCGCAUAACGUCGCAAGACCAAAGAGGGGGACCUUCGGGCCUCUUGCCAUCGGAUGUGCCCAGAUGGGAUUAGCUAGUAGGUGGGGUAA
rnacentral:rRNA from 1 species